rnacentral:rRNA from 1 species
UACGUAGGGACCGAGCGUUGUCCGGAAUCAUUGGGCGUAAAGAGCGUGUAGGCGGGUUGUUAAGUCUUGCGUGAAAUCUCGGGGCUCAACCCCGAGCGGUCGUGAGAAACUGGCAGGCUAGAGUGCGGGAGAGGAGAGUGGAAUUCCUGGUGUAGCGGUGAAAUGCGCAGAUAUCAGGAAGAACACCCGUGGCGAAGGCGGCUCUCUGGAACGCAACUGACGCUGAGACGCGAAAGCGUGGGGAGCAAACAGG